rnacentral:tRNA from 1 species
GGGGGUGGAUGGGUCCCGGCGGGUCCCACGGUCUUCAAAACCGAUGGCGGGCGCUAUGUGUCCGCGGUGGGUUCGAUUCCCACACGCCCCCGCCA